UACGUAGGGCGCAAGCGUUAUCCGGAAUUAUUGGGCGUAAAGAGCUCGUAGGCGGUUUGUCGCGUCUGCCGUGAAAGUCCGGGGCUCAACUCCGGAUCUGCGGUGGGUACGGGCAGACUAGAGUGAUGUAGGGGAGACUGGAAUUCCUGGUGUAGCGGUGAAAUGCGCAGAUAUCAGGAGGAACACCGGUGGCGAAGGCGGGUCUCUGGGACGGUACUGACGCUGAGACGCGAAAGCGUGGGGAGCGAACAGG
rnacentral:rRNA from 1 species